AGGCUUAGGAGGGAGGUCUGAACAAAAAUGCAAGAAAAAGGAACUUCUGUCCUCCAAGCCACGUCGUGGUAAAGAUGCAGCAUACCUCUCAGAAAUUUAAGUUAAUAGAAACAAGCACUACAUGCUAAUGUACAUGGAAUGUGUGACUAACAGAGAAAAAGUGAUACUGUGAGGAUGUAAAAAGUGAGCUAACUCGAAAAGUCCUCAAGAAGUAGUGUUAAUGAGUGCUUCAAGUUGGAAACAAUUUUCAACUGGAGAAAUGUGCCCAGUCUGUUGGUGAAGAGAAAGCACAGGAGAGGUCAGAUUAUUUAAUAUAGAAUAAAGUAAGCAUCAGCUACCUACCCUCUAAAAGAUGAACCUACUUGAGAGAGGAGAGAACAUCAAAGGCUGUAAUAUGCUGAGCUUUCUAAGAAAACUGCUUUGAAGGGAACAGGUUUUGCUUGGAUGGGGACUGGGAGUUGGAGAGGGGAGACUGGAGAGAGUAGGAAGGGAAACUGGAAAUGAAAAGAAAAACACUGAGCCCCACAGUUUCAAGUCGGAGACAAAUUAUCUCAAGUGCUCCAGAACUUCUGGACUAGCUUUCAUGAUGGAAAAAGUGUUCUCUUCAUACUACCAAGAAACAUGAUGAGCUGAGAUUCCAGCCAUAGUUCUUUAGGAUCCACAGCACGACUUGCAGUAAACGGCGCUAGAAGAAAGAGACAUUAUACAAAUGCAAGCUGUUGUCACAACAAUGAUAAGAAAUCAGGAGUCGAAAGAUGUGGAGUAAGGGGGAAUUUCAGAGAAACCACAAAACACAAAAUAGGAAACAGAGACAGGAGAAGAUUGCUAUGACAAAAUUGCAGAAGGUGAAAUCUUUGGCAGCCUCUUAUUUCUCUGGAGAAUAUGAUAUUGUCAGGCUGAGGUGGAAGAAUCACAUGGUCAUACUGUUGAAGAGGUCUUGAAACAUUGGGCUUUCCUCUACAAGCGGAAGGAUAGCACUGGCAGCCAUCCACUGGCCCAGCAAUAUCCUGGAUUGAGACGAUAUCAUUUGCAUUACUUGCUGAAUGAAACAUAGUGAAAAUGACUGCAGAUAACCUCAACUAAGUCCAAGAUAUCAUUUUCAAAUCUGGACCAGCCCUUGCCAUCUAGACUGAACAGAGAUUCCAGUUUCCAGGAGAGUAGAUGGAGUAAUGAUAAAAGCACCUCCCAAAACUUUUGCCUUGGUACUACAGAGUGGCACAUAACUAAACAUUAUCAAGGAAUUUUACAGCCCUAGGCCUUCUAUUACUGUGUAUUACAGUCUGCUGUAAUCAUUCUAAUGGUCUAAGAUGUUGCAAGUAAUUUACUCACGGCCUGAACACCAGAAGUGCCAAAAUUGCCUGGGAGUUUUAUUCUGCAUCCAACCAGUACCAGGAAGGAGGAUGUAUUACUUCUCGUUUCUCUACAAGUGUCAGUGCAAAUCCAGCCAUCAAACAAAACUUAGACCUAAAAGCUUUUAGAUUACAGCGAUUAUUGCAGAUUUUACAUGAGAUAAAAAUGUAAUUGCUC
rnacentral:lncRNA from 1 species